rnacentral:pre_miRNA from 1 species
GUUUUGCUGUUGUCGGGUGGAUCACGAUGCAAUUUUGAUUAGUAUGAUAGGAGAAAAAUUGCACGGUAUCCAUCUGUAAACCGCAGGAC